rnacentral:rRNA from 1 species
GAUGAACGCUGGCGGUUUGCCUAAUACAUGCAAGUCGAGCGAACGGACGAGAAGCUUGCUUCUCUGAUGUUAGCGGCGGACGGGUGAGUAACACGUGGAUAACCUACCUAUAAGACUGGGAUAACUUCGGGAAACCGGAGCUAAUACCGGAUAAUAUUUUGAACCGCAUGGUUCAAAAGUGAAAGACGGUCUUGCUGUCACUUAUAGAUGGAUCCGCGCUGCAUUAGCUAGUUGGUAAGGUAACGGCUUACCAAGGCAACGAUGCAUAGCCGACCUGAGAGGGUGAUCGGCCACACUGGAACUGAGACACGGUCCAGACUCCUACGGGAGGCAGCAGUAGGGAAUCUUCCGCAAUGGGCGAAAGCCUGACGGAGCAACGCCGCGUGAGUGAUGAAGGUCUUCGGAUCGUAAAACUCUGUUAUUAGGGAAGAACAUAUGUGUAAGUAACUGUGCACAUCUUGACGGUACCUAAUCAGAAAGCCACGGCUAACUACGUGCCAGCAGCCGCGGUAAUACGUAGGUGGCAAGCGUUAUCCGGAAUUAUUGGGCGUAAAGCGCGCGUAGGCGGUUUUUUAAGUCUGAUGUGAAAGCCCACGGCUCAACCGUGGAGGGUCAUUGGAAACUGGAAAACUUGAGUGCAGAAGAGGAAAGUGGAAUUCCAUGUGUAGCGGUGAAAUGCGCAGAGAUAUGGAGGAACACCAGUGGCGAAGGCGACUUUCUGGUCUGUAACUGACGCUGAUGUGCGAAAGCGUGGGGAUCAAACAGGAUUAGAUACCCUGGUAGUCCACGCCGUAAACGAUGAGUGCUAAGUGUUAGGGGGUUUCCGCCCCUUAGUGCUGCAGCUAACGCAUUAAGCACUCCGCCUGGGGAGUACGACCGCAAGGUUGAAACUCAAAGGAAUUGACGGGGACCCGCACAAGCGGUGGAGCAUGUGGUUUAAUUCGAAGCAACGCGAAGAACCUUACCAAAUCUUGACAUCCUUUGACAGCUCUAGAGAUAGAGCUUUCCCCUUCGGGGGACAAAGUGACAGGUGGUGCAUGGUUGUCGUCAGCUCGUGUCGUGAGAUGUUGGGUUAAGUCCCGCAACGAGCGCAACCCUUAAGCUUAGUUGCCAUCAUUAAGUUGGGCACUCUAAGUUGACUGCCGGUGACAAACCGGAGGAAGGUGGGGAUGACGUCAAAUCAUCAUGCCCCUUAUGAUUUGGGCUACACACGUGCUACAAUGGACAAUACAAAGGGCAGCGAAACCGCGAGGUCAAGCAAAUCCCAUAAAGUUGUUCUCAGUUCGGAUUGUAGUCUGCAACUCGACUACAUGAAGCUGGAAUCGCUAGUAAUCGUAGAUCAGCAUGCUACGGUGAAUACGUUCCCGGGUCU